GUGGAAUGUAACACUGUGUGCUAAAGAUUCUGAUGGUGAUCGACGAACAAACGGAGAGGAGCUCGGUGACCCUAACUGCACUUGGAGCAUAGGUCAACCAGAUCCAAGCGGUACAACAACACAUCCAGGUUUUAGAACUACUGGAGCUAGUCGCCAAUAGUCAGAUUCACCUGCCUAAUGGAAUAGGUAUCCUAAUGCUUGUCAAUUUUUUUUUCAGGAGGAUAAUUUAUAUUGGCUCCACAUAAAUGUCGAAUUUGCAUUGCAAUAAGCUUCUUUUAUUUAGUAAUACCUAUAACAAGACUGAUUAAAGUACACUAUCAUUAUA
rnacentral:sRNA from 1 species